CAGAGGCCCAAGAGACACUGUGCUCCCAGCAUGACACCCCUGAUUAGAUGAAGUGACUCCAGGUGUGUGUUCAGGUGUGCUCUGACUGACCAGGUUCUCACUUCUUGUGUCUCUGAUCUCAGCAUGACUACUGACAGUCUCUUUGUCCUGAAUGAAGCCGGCAAACAUCUGAGUGUCCAUGAAGAGCUGUAGGAACUGGCGGACUCCACGGGAAGGGUGUGAUUUUCGAAAACUGUCUCGCUGGAGCUCCCGGCUGCCAUUGGAGGACUCAACCAUGUGGAGAGGAUAGUGGCCCACCAGCUCCACGAAGAACCGUGCAAAACCCUCCGACACCAGAGAGCUCAGGUCAGCCUGCUGACCUGGACAAGCCACACGUUGGAUGAAGAUAAAAGGGUUAACUAAACCACCUAAAUAGGCCAUCAGUUACCAUCUGACUACAGUUUUAACUGCCCAGUUUAAAAAAAACAGAAUAAACUAAAGACUUGGCAGCAGUCAGUAGGUCAUCAGAGGUCCAGGAUCUGCUGCAACGCUGCCUGCAGUUUACUGGGCAGGAUGCAGUCUUCAUCACCCAGCUGUCACACGUCACAGGAAAAAUCAACAACAGUCACAUGAUGCCAUUUACAAACACAUCUCAACUGUCCUGCACACUGUUGCAACAAAUUUUUCUGAUG